CCUACGGGUGGCAGCAGUGAGGAAUAUUGGUCAAUGGCCGGAAGGCUGAACCAGCCAUGCCGCGUGAAGGUCAGUGCCCUAUGGGCGUUAAACUUCUUUUGUGCGGGAGCAAUAAUGGUCACGUGUGGCCAGACGAGAGUACCGUACGAAUAAGCAUCGGCCAACUCCGUGCCAGCAGCCGCGGUAAUACGGGGGAUGCCAGCGUUAUCCGGAUUUAUUGGGUUUAAAGGGUGCGUAGGCGGUGAGGUAAGUCAGCGGGGAAAUGCCCCCGCGCAACGGGGUGACGUGCCAUUGAUACUGGCGUGCUGGAGUGCGGAUGCCGUGGGAGGAAUGUGUGGUGUAGCGGUGAAAUGCAUAGAUAUCACACAGAACACCGAUUGCGAAGGCAUCUCACG
rnacentral:rRNA from 1 species